CCCGUCACACCAUGAGAGUUGGAAAUACCCGAAGCCUGUGAGCUAACUUAAAGAGGCAGCAGUCGAAGGUAGAGCCAAUGAUUGGGGUGAAGUCGUAACAAGGUAGC
rnacentral:rRNA from 1 species